AGGCUUAACACAUGCAAGUCGAGCGCACUCUUUUAGAGUGAGCGGCAAACGGGUGAGUAACGCGUGGGAAUCUACCCAUCUCUACGGAAUAACACAGAGAAAUUUGUGCUAAUACCGUAUACGUCCCUUCGGGGAGAAAGAUUUAUCGGAGAUGGAUGAGCCCGCGUUGGAUUAGCUAGUUGGUGAGGUAACGGCUCACCAAGGCGACGAUCCAUAGCUGGUCUGAGAGGAUGAUCAGCCACACUGGGACUGAGACACGGCCCAGACUCCUACGGGAGGCAGCAGUGGGGAAUAUUGGACAAUGGGGGCAACCCUGAUCCAGCCAUGCCGCGUGAGUGAUGAAGGCCCUAGGGUUGUAAAGCUCUUUCA
rnacentral:rRNA from 1 species